UCNUACGGGAGGCAGCAGUGAGGAAUAUUGGACAAUGGGCGAGAGCCUGAUCCAGCCAGCCGCGUGCAGGAAGACGGCCCUAUGGGUUGUAAACUGCUUUUAUACGGGAAGAAACACCCCUUCGUGAAGGGGCUUGACGGUACCGUAAGAAUAAGGAUCGGCUAACUCCGUGCCAGCAGCCGCGGUAAUACGGAGGAUCCAAGCGUUAUCCGGAAUCAUUGGGUUUAAAGGGUCCGUAGGCGGGACAAUAAGUCAGCGGUGAAAGUCUGUGGCUCAACCAUAGAAUUGCCAUUGAUACUGUUGUUCUUGAGUGUUUAUGAAGUGGUUAGAAUAUGUAGUGUAGCGGUGAAAUGCUUAGAUAUUACAUGGAAUACCGAUUGCGAAGGCAGAUCACUAAUAAAAUACUGACGCUGAUGGACGAAAGCGUAGGUAGCGAACAGGAUUAGAUACCCUGGUAGUCUACGCCGUAAACGAUGGUUACUAGCUGUUCGGAAGUAAUUCUGAGUGGCUAAGCGAAAGUGAUAAGUAC
rnacentral:rRNA from 1 species